rnacentral:misc_RNA from 1 species
CUGAGUUACCGCUCUAUAACCCUUUGUGAACAUACCUAUACGUUGCUUCGGCGGCCGUCCCCCGGGGCGUCCGCCGGAGGAUAACCAAACUCUGAUUUAACGACGUUUCUUCUGAGUGGCACAAGCAAAUAAUCA